UACGUAGGGGGCAAGCGUUGUCCGGAAUCAUUGGGCGUAAAGCGCGCGUAGGCGGCCCGGUAAGUCCGUUGUGAAAGUCAAAGGCUCAACCUUUGAACGCCGAUGGAUACUGCCGGGCUAGAGUCCGGAAGAGGCGAGUGGAAUUCCUGGUGUAGCGGUGGAAUGCGCAGAUAUCAGGAGGAACACUAAUAGCGAAGGCAGCUCGCUGGGACGGUACUGACGCUGAGGCGCGAAAGCGUGGGGAGCGAACAGG
rnacentral:rRNA from 1 species